rnacentral:rRNA from 1 species
GAUGAAUGCUGGCGGCGUGCCUAACACAUGCAAGUCGAGCGGCAGCGCGGGUAGUUUACUACCUGGCGGCGAGCGGCGGACGGCUGAGUAACGCGUAGGAACGUGCCCCAAAGUGAGGAAUAACUGCCCGAAAGGGUGGCUAAUGCCGCAUAUGAUCUUCGGAUUAAAGUCUUCGGACGCUUUGGGAGCGGCCUGCGUCGGAUUAGGUAGUUGGUAGGGUAAUGGCCUACCAAGCCGACGAUCCGUAGCUGGUCUGAGAGGAUGAUCAGCCACACUGGAACUGAGACACGGUCCAGACUCCUACGGGAGGCAGCAGUGGGGAAUAUUGCGCAAUGGGCGAAAGCUUGACGCAGCAACGCCGCGUGAGUGAUGAAGGCCUUCGGGUCGUAAAGCUCUGUCGGGAGGAACGAAUGCUCCCAAGGUUAACAGCCUCGGGAGGUGACGGUACCUUCAAAGGAAGCACCGGCUAA